rnacentral:misc_RNA from 1 species
UUUCCGUAGGUGAACCUGCGGAAGGAUCAUUAAAGAGUUAGGGUCUCUCAGGCCCGACCUCCCAACCCUUUGUUUACUGAACCAUUGUUGCUUCGGUGGGUCCGUCUCACGACCGCCGGGGGAGGGAUCCCCCCCCCCCUGGCCCGCACCCGCCGAUAGCCCAACUCUUAAAAUCCUUUAUGAAUCGUGUCUUAUGUCUAAAUCAUGAUAACAAAUCAAAUUAAAACUUUCAACAACGGAUCUCUUGGUUCUGGCAUCGAUGAAGAACGCAGC